rnacentral:rRNA from 1 species
UACGGAGGGGUCAAGCGUUGUUCGGAUUCGCUGGGCGUAAAGGGUGCGUAGGCGGCGCGGUAAGUCGGGGGUGAAAUCUCGGGGCUUAACUCCGAAACUGCAUUCGAUACUGCCGUGCUUGAGGACUGGAGAGGAGACUGGAAUUUACGGUGUAGCGGUGAAAUGCGCAGAUAUCAGGAGGAACACCAAUGGCGAAGGCAGCUCGCUGGGACGGUACUGACGCUGAGACGCGAAAGCGUGGGGAGCAAACAGG